rnacentral:rRNA from 1 species
AUUGACCGCUGGCGGCAGGCCUAACACAUGCAAGUCGAACGAGUGGCGGAAGGGUGAGUAAUGUCUGGGAAACUGCCUGAUGGAGGGGGAUAACUCCUGGAAACGGUAGCUAAUACCGCAUACCCUCAGAUGUGCCCAGAUGGGAUUCGCUAGUAGGUGGGGUAAUGGCUCACCUAGGCGACGAUCCCUAGCUGGUCUGAGAGGCUGACCAGCGACACUGGAACUGAGACACGGGCCAGACUCCUACGGGAGGAAGCAGUGGGGAAUAUUGCACAAUGGGCGCAAGCCUGAGGCAGCCAUGCCGCGUGGGUGAAGAAGGCCUUCGGGUUGUAAAGCACUUUCAGCGAGGAGGCGUUACUCGCAGAAGAAGCACCGGCUAACUCCGUGCCAGCAGCCGCGGUAAUAC